rnacentral:rRNA from 1 species
AUACGUAGGUGGCAAGCGUUAUCCGGAUUUACUGGGUGUAAAGGGCGCGUAGGCGGGCAUGCAAGUCAGAUGUGAAAUUUAUGGGCUUAACCCAUAACCUGCAUUUGAAACUGUGUGUCUUGAGUGAUGGAGAGGUAAGUGGAAUUCCUAGUGUAGCGGUGGAAUGCGUAGAUAUUAGGAGGAACACCAGUGGCGAAGGCGGCUUACUGGACGAUCACUGACGUUGAGGCUCGAAAGCGUGGGGAGC